GAAGGCUGAAAUUCGCCUUCAUGAAGCCGGAAUUGCUAGUAAUGGCAGGUCAGCAUACUGCCGUGAAUACGUUCCCGGGCCUUGUACACACCGCCCGUCACACCAUGAGAGUUGGAGAUACCCGAAGCCUGUGAGCUAACAAACGAGGCAGCAGUCGAAGGUAGAAUCAAUGAUUGGGGUGAAGUCGUAACAAGGUAAC
rnacentral:rRNA from 1 species